AGCGUGAGCGUAGUUUAAACCAAAAACAUUAAGCUGUGGACUUAAAAACAAAGACUCAACUCUUUCACCCACC
rnacentral:tRNA from 1 species